AUCAAAUUGAAAUCUAUAAUAAAACUAACGAGUAGUAUGUGUUUUUAGAGAAAUAUAUCAUAUUAAGAAAUCUGAAGCCAAUAUCUAUAAAAUUAUAAAAUAAGACUGGAAAUGUCAAAAUGUCUCUGUCUUCCUUGGAAUUGUCUCCUUUAAAGUUUUUGCUCAGAUAAUGUGGAACUAAUUAGUGAAAUACAGAACGAGAAAGGGUGCCAAAUGUCUGAAGAUUAUGACAAACCUAUCACAAAUAUGCUGCUGAUAGGAAUCAUCAACAUUGUUUCAUUUAUAUAUUUAUUUUUAUAUAUUUAUUUUUAUAGGUUUUUUUUCCUUGUCAUUGAUGAUAAAAAUGAAGAAAUUAAUGUCACAUUGAAAACGAAAUUUCCUUGGCGUUGCUGCUGACAGGAUAUCUAACUGGUUAAUUAGAAUAUUGUUGUUUCUCCAGAAUUUAUUCCCCAUUAGUAAACCAAAUGGCAUCUAUUAUAUUACUGCAGCACUGGAUUAAUUAUUGAGUAAAAUAAGCAUGUGUUUAGGGCACCAAGGAAAGUGAGGCGCCACAGAAAUGGUAAAUGGUCUACAGCACAAAAGAAAUUACUUUAAUCUUGCUAAAAUAAUA